ACACGUUUAUAAUCAUAACUCUUUUGAUUUUGUGGCUGCUAUACAUGAUAAUGCAAAUAAAAACUACAAUGUCAAUUUGACAGUGUACAGAAGUUUGACAACCUAGUGGAAAUUUGCGCAACCAUCCCCUCAGGGUUAUACCAUUGAUUUCGUUGUUAUUGGGCUUAUGACUUUACCUUCUAAUUUUACCAAGCACAGAUCUGUUGUAAAAAUAAUCCUUUUAUGCAAAGGCCCCUUACUUUUAACCUUGUCUAUAUACAACUCUGUUAAGCAUCAUGACUAGCGUGGGUAGGAUUGGAGAAUUUUUUUUGUUUUUUUUUUUGCUGCAACUCCCGCUGGAGGACCGGGACGUCCCAUGAUCUGACUACUCCUGAUCAACAGAAUAAUGAAAACUGAACUCCUGAUCAGCGGGUUACUGAAUAUUGGAAAUGUUCAUGAAAUUUAAGUUAACCAAGGCCAGACCAAAAGCGGUAUCGGAUUGUGCAUCGGUUGUAGGCUUUACUUGUAGAAAUAUCGACAGAUGGAUCUACGCAGUGUUAACAAAACAAUACUCCAUUUAGCGAUUGGGUGUAUUGGUCCCCAAUGGAAGCUUGUCGAAGAUCGCUCACUAACUACCCUGCAAGUAUGUGGUUGCAAAACAACUUCCUACUGGAUAAAAUAAUGAAAUUGUGGAUGACUGACAUCCCAUUAUCUGACUACUCCUGAUAAACGUCCCACUGAAAACUGAAUGUAGAAAAUGUUCCCAAACUCCUGAUCAACGGGUUACUGAAUAUUGGAAAUGUUCAUGAAGCUUAUGUUAACCAAGGCCAGACUAAAAGGUGCGUUUUUCUAAAAAAGAAGACAUAUGUAAUUAGUGUCAGACACGGAUUUAUUUGCAUUUAAUUCAUGUAGAAGCAAACUCUUCUAGAAGAAUUUUCCUCGUUCCUGUCUGAAAAUGUGGACUAGACAUUCCAUAUGCUAAUGAAAAUGGUUAAAUUGAAAAAGCGGUGUCUGAAGCGUUACAACUUAAGAAAUAAAUAUGAUGAUACUGUGCAGAGCAAUGCUGUGGAAUGUGCAUCGGAUGUAGCCUUAACUUAUGGAAAUAUCAACAGAUGGAUCUGCGCAGUUUUAACACAAAACCCCACCUACUUCUAGCACUGAGAAGAUAUUAAUUGUUUGGCCCAUUCUACAUUUGGGCUUUCUUAAUGCUUUGACAAGGACGUCGGAUAUUUUGAAAGAUUUACAUAUUUGUGGAACCAGUCUUCCAACUGUAAAAAUAAUAUUGUCUUUGUUGUUGUAGCUGUAUGUUGUACACAGAGGCGGCAGCCUUUGGCAAUGAAGGACCCCAUCGUGUCAAUCCGGUACGUACAACCGGCUGCCAUGGGAUAUUGUUGUUUAAGGCCUUUGAACGGCCCUCGGAACUUUGAGGCCUAAAAAAAGAAAGACUGAAUUAAUUUCCAGCCUUAAAGAAAAUAAGAUUACCCAAGUUCAUUGACCAUCUCAAAAAUUGUACUAAGCAUUUUAUAUUUUAUGACAAAAAAUUAAAAA
rnacentral:sRNA from 14 species